AAGGGCAUGGAGCAGAGCAUCCUGAGUGCUGUCAUGCAACAUGCACAGGACAGCCAGGGAAUCAGGCCCAGGCAACAGCAGCUAAGGAAAGGAAGGUCCUGCUUGAGCAACCUGAGCAAGUUUUGUGACAAGGAAAUCAUGGAGGAUAGUUGUUCAGGAGCCAUAAUCUCCGUGGGAAGAAGGUUCAUCAGUCAGUGGCCUCAUAAAACCUACCUAUUCUACUUCAUGGGAAGCUCUGCAAUUUGAAACAAAUUCCUAAUCAGAGCAAAUAUGUCAAAUAAAAAUUCUGGAUAAUUUAA